UGUUUCUAUUUACAGAUACAGCUUCUACAGAAAUAAACAGAGGUAUGGACAAGGAUUUUUUACAAUGAUAUACAUCUCAGUCAUAAUUGUUAUGUAAGGGGAGUGAGUAUGUGAGGUAUGUAUAUAUUCAGAGAGAUCUUGUUUUUUCAUGCUCAGUAAAAGCCCUCUUAUCUGAUUGGAUUGGUAUUUAGUUAGUGGGAAAAAUGUUGGUUAAAGCAAAAAAAAAAAAAAAAAAAAUUUUUUUUUUAAUGACCCAUACAUUCUAUUUUAGUUAGGAUUCAUUUUUGCUGCAAGCAACAGAAACACAAAAUAACAGCAACCUAAACAAGAUAGAAGGUUAUUACUUUUUCAAGUGAAAAGUCUAGCAGUUGGUGAUCCAGAGUUAUUAUGGCCCCCCAAAACAUCCUGGGUGUAGAUGCCUUCUUUAUCUUCUUGUGUGGCCACCUAUGACCUUUAUUCCCAGUUUCAGUUCUAGCAAUCAUGCCUCCAUUGCAAAAGCAAAGAAGAAAAGGAGGAAGAUAAAGGUAUACUCAAACCCGUGACGUUUUCCUAGAGCUGCACACACCAUUCUCCUUUCAUUUCAUCCUCAGAAAUGCUGAGAUGGUAACACUUAGCUAGCUACAAGGCUAAUGGAAAACAUUGACUACUUCAGGCAAUCAUGUGCCCAACUCAAAAGCAGAUUUUUUCAUAUUUAUCUUUUCCUCAGACUAAAAUUUAUCCAUGUGCACCACCCUGAACAGAGCUUUGCAUACAUUAGGUUUUCAGUAACCGACUGAAUGGCUAAUGCAGACACUAGACAAUGUCCCCUUCACAUGAAGUGACCUUUUGGUUCAACUUGAUAUAAACGUUCACAAAAUUUGAAAUUACUGAGCUCUGCCAUCAAGAAAAAUACUCUCUAAUACCUGAUCGAAUAUCAGUGGACAGUUAAUAUUGUAAAUGCUACUGGGCCCAGACACACUGACAAAUCCAGGUAAUCAGGAUUAAAUUACAUCUGCAAAGCAGGUAGCAAGUCAUAGUACUCAGAGUCCUAGUAUGCCAUGGCAUGAUAAGAAUUCUAGGAGGCCUUGGGUUCACUAGAAUAUUGACUUAAAUUUAGAAUAUAUGGACUAUCAACCUAUUUGAUUGCCCUAAGGGAUAGCUUAAGUCUAAGAAGUGCCUGGUGAUGCUCUCUGUUCCCUGGAAUAUACAUCAAAGGGCCAUUUAAAAGACUGUAAAAUCUUACCCAGAUUAUAUUGACCUGCUAAUUUGGUAUCUUCUUUUCUCUCCUGCCUCAAGCAAUUUACCCUUAUUCUUUUUCAGCCCAUAAGAGGAUCUGUGUAUUCUACAUUCUUCAAGACCUGGAAGCUUAUCUAUACAUAUAGAUAAGGUAAAUCUAGAUCUAGAUAUUUUUAAACUCUUUUAAGUUCAUUUAUUUAUUUUGAAAGAGAGAAGGGAGGGGCAGAAAGAGAGGCAGAGAGAGAGAGAGAGAGAGAGAGAAUCCCAAACAGGCUCUGCAUUGUCAUCACAGAGCCAGAUGGGGGCUGGUAUUCACAAACCAUGAGACCAUGACCUGAACUGAAACCAAGAGUCUGAUGCUUAACUGACUGAGCCACCCAGGUACCUCUAGAUAUUCUUUUAAAACAGCUUCUCCUAACUAAUCCUAAACUUUUCCAAAUCCUUUUUUUUUCUUCCCAAUGAAAGAGUCUCCUUAGAACUCUGUGACAUAGUUUCGCUAAUGUUUGCAUACAUGCAUGUCAGUUUUGGAGGACUGUGAAAGAAACAACAUGAUGCUUCUUCUGUUUCUUUCCUUCUUCUCCUUCUCCUUCUCCUCCUCCUCCUCCUUCUAUUUCUUCUUCCCCUCCUCCUCCUCCUCCUGCUUCUUCUCCUUCUCCUUCUUCACCUUCUUCACCUUCUUCACCUUCUCCUUCUUCUUACUCCUUCCCCUCCUCCUCCUCCUUCUCCUUCUCCUUCUUCUUACUCCUUCCCCUCCUCCUCCUCCUCUCCUUCUCCUUCUUCUUCUCCUUCUCCUUCUCCUUCUCCUUCUCCUUCUUGUAACUUUCCCCAUUGCCUUCCCUUAGAUCCAACAAUUAAAUUACCUUUCAUGGCUGCAAAUUAGGUUCAACACCAAAUAUUUUCAGCCAUAUACUGUAAAUGUUAGUAAUAGAACACUGGCUCUUACAGAAGUACUCAGCACAUAUACAAACACAGUUGUCUUAAAAGAAGCACAUCACAGUGUCUAGAUUCUAGAUUCUAGAAAUAUGAAGAUAUUCAAAAACCAAACACUGUUUUCUUAAGGCCUCCUUCUUAAGAAGACAAAUAUGCUUGUACUUUGUAAAUGAAAAUAUAAUGGUCAACCAGAGAUAAUCAAUAAUGACUGCCAUGUUCUCGAAAGGAAGGAAAUAGACUUUUUGUUCCUUUGUAAAAAAUUGUCACUCUGCUGGGUUCUGCUCGUCAGCCUCUCCUUUAAGACUAUAGUAGACACCAAGAGUAGAUACCUACCUCAUAAUUAUUUCCCUUUCUCUAAGAAUGGUUCCUACAUACGAGGUGACGUUGUCCAUACUAUAUGGUCCUGUCGAUUGGCCAUGGUUGAUUGGUUCAGUAAAGGCAGCCGACCCAAGCUUGGCUAAUCAAAAUCAUUCUCUAGGAUUUUUCAGACUAUACUACCCAAAGGGUCUCAAUAUAUCCCUGAGGGUGGAGGAAGCUCAGCAGCUAUCCACGGCCAUAUAUGCUGCUAUAUCAUGCUACCUAAACCUGACUCUGUGCAAUAAUUUCCUGAAGAAUGCAGUCAGAUUUUUAAAAUGGUUAGUCUUAAUCAGAACUUCUUUUUUCUUCUGCACCUAUAUAUAAAUUCUCAGAUAAGAUGUACCCAAGGGGAGAUUUUUCUAAGUGCAUGUUGUUAUAGUGCUAACAUGCAAUCUGUGUUAUGUUGGUACCUAGGAAAUUAGGUUCCCCUUAAGAUUGCCUACUGGAUUUUCCAGAAAGGUGAACUCAUAGAAAACAUAUUGCAUUAUUCUUCUGGGAAUGUUGGUCACAUUAUUUUUGUAGGACUCCCAGUUAGAUGAUUUUCUCAUUUCUGGUAUCUGCUUCAAUCAUACACCUCACUUCUUUUCUUAUAAAAGCAAAAUGAGACGUGGUAGGAAAAAUAAUGGCUGUUGUCUACUUGGCAAUAGAGUACUUGGCCCAUAGUAGAUAUUCAGUAAAUGUUUGGUGAAUGAAAUAAUUCAAGGUGAGUGUUACAUCAUAUAUACUAUCAAAUACAUAAGGUAUAUCUAUUAAACUAUGUCCAAUUAAUAUUAAUAUAUCUAUCAUUCUAUUAAGAUUAUAUAUUAAUAGAAGUUGUACAUCUAAAUGAGAGCCAUCAAAUUCAAAUUAGUCACCUUGACUAGGGUAGGCAGCCAUUGCUCAAAACAAAUUGAACUCUCUCAAAAUCAUUUUAUACUAUAGCAUGCUUUGGAAUAGCCUUACAACAUUAGCAAAUCUCUUGCUUUUAAAGUACAUUUGAUUUUUUUGUUGUUGCUGGGCUAAUGAUUUCGAUCGACUUAAAAAAAUCAUCAGCAUUAAAGAAUUGUAUUAGAGCUUGGAAAUCAUCUAAUUAGUGAUCAAGCCAGGAGAUAACAUUUUCUGUUCAGAAUAAAUAAAAUAUGACUAAUUCUUUCAGUCGAUUAAUUUUAGACUAUAACUUCUUUUAAGUAAUGAUCAUCACCUGCUAUGGGAUGUGCCUAAUCCUCCCAAGAAACCAGCAACAUAUUAGGCCCAUUUUAUUAAUAAUAAUACUAAGAUUCCGAUACUGUAUACGGUAUAAUAACUUUCUCAAGGCUAAACAGUCAGUAGAAUAUACCAUUUAGACAAGUUUAUCUUACUACCCCUCUGCCUGUAUUGGUAGAGAUCCUAAAAGCAAGUUUUCACAAUGAGAUGCUCCCUCCUCAGCUGCAGUUCAUUGGAUCAUGGAAGGGUGGAGGUAAGUUGCUUGAUCACCAAGCUAAUCAAGUCUUGUACCUAGGGAAAUUGGAAUUGGGGUUGAGAGGGUCAUUGUUUCUUUCUCUGAAUUGGCCAUGUAAAUGACCAAACUGUGGUGUGACCCUUUUUUCCUGCCGUAUUAAUUCAAGAAUCAGAGGUGGUUCACUCUUGAGGAGAGAUAUAGACUAUUCUAUCAUCAGUUAAACUUGCUUUUCCACCCAGCAGAAGCGAUGAGAAGGCUAAGUUGUAGAGAGAAGAUAAAAUACACUCACAGAGAGGAAUGUAGAUAAACCGCAGAGAGAGAUUUUGAAUGGCUCUCUGGGCCCUGGUUCUAUUUCUUUCCUCAUAUCCAGCUGCAUUUCUGUACUUAAUUGGAAAAUAGCCCUAGUGGUGUUGUACUACAUUCUUCUUUUUGAUGAAGCCAAAAGUAGUUAUCAGUGGGUUUUGUCUGGUCAUUUCUCUCCUCACACUUCUGGAAAUAGUAUACCUCUUCCUUGGGUGUCCUUUUCCUCUUCACUUUAUAUAUUGGUAAUGAUCUGUCCAUUUUGAUACCCAGCCUACAGAGGGAAGGCACAUGAUCGAGGCCAAAUUGGAUACUGUAAAUAGUUCUCUCCAUGAUUUGUUACAGAUGACAACAUGACUUAAGCCUGAAUAUUCAGAUUACUUUCCUGUGAUUUUUUUUUAUAUGAGCAAAAUUUCCCUCCAGAUGAAACACAUCUGGUGUGUUUUCAAGUUGGAAUGGUAUAAAUCUGAAGUAUUUAUUUAUUUAUUUAUUUAUAUUAUUUCAAGCGCUCUCUCUCUCUCUCUCUCUCUCAGGGAUUUAACAAUUAGAAAAAUAGAAUAAUAACUUUCCUCCAAUUUCUCUCACAAAUGGUGAAGAGAUUGAAUGUAUACAUGCUAAUAGCUUGGUAUAUUCUUACCUUAGAUUAUUUAAUAUUAGAUUUAAAUGAGAUAUAUUAGUGGACACCUGGGUGGCUCAGUUGGUUAAGUAUCCAACUUCAGCUCAAGUCAUGAUCUCACAGUUUGUGAGUUCAAGCCCUGCAUUGGGCUCUGUGCUGACAGCUCAGAGCCUGGAACCUGAUUUCAGAUUCUGUGCCGCCCUCUUUGUCCGCUCCUCCCCUGCUCUCUGUCUCUCUCUGUCUCUCAAAAAUAAAAAUAAAACGUUGAAAAAAAAUUGUAGUGAGAUAUAUUAGUUAUAUAAAAGGUUAUGGAAUAGCAUUCCAAAUCUAUACUGUACAUCUUACACUAAGGUAUGCAUACUGUGUUUCUGAUUCUAUAAUGGUUGGGAUAAUCCUGGGUCAGGACUCUAUCAUGGAAAGUGGAGGUGGGGGGGUGAUAUAUAAGCCUUUUACACAAAGCUUUUGAGGUUGUACUGGACAGACUAUAGGUAACCAAAAAGAGGGAAGGUUUCUUAGCAUUUUAUUUAUGGCCCUGCAUGAUCCUUACCAUAUCCACUCAGAUUCUGUUCACAAGAACUCAGUCAUAUGGUGACACCCAACUGUAAAGGAGGUUGGCAAAUAUACUCUAGCUUUGGGUCCAGGAAGAAACCUAUGUAAGUUUAUAAGCAACUAUGCAGCUCUUGCCAUAUACUCUUUUGGUGGUUCUGAAAUAAAAAAAAAUUGUGAAAGAAUAUGGAGAAUUGUGUAGCCCAAUCACUGCCAAAUAACUGAAGUGAUAUUUAGGCUACAUGACAUGGUACAAAGAGCUCAGGAUGUGAAAUCAGAAGACUGUAUUUUCAGUUUUGUUCUUACCACUGACUCACUCUGUACUGGGAAUGUCACUUAAUAUUUCUAGGCUUUAUUUUCCCUAUCAGUAAAAUUUGUAUAUUAAAAUAUCUGUCCUACCAGGGUUCUUGGGUGGCUCAGUCAGUUAAGUGUCUGAGUUUGGCUCAGGUCAUGAUCUCACAGUUUGUGAGUUCGAGCCCCACGUCAGGUUCUGUGCUGACAGCUCAGAGCCUGGAGCCACCUUCAGAUUCUGUUUCUCCCUCUCUUGCUCUGCCCCUCCCCUGCUCAUGCUCUGUCUUUCUCAAAAAUAAACAUUAAAGCAAUUUUAAAAAUAUCUGUUCUACCUACACUACAAGUUUAUUGUGGCUACCAAAUUAAAUAUAUUAUAAAUGUAGAGUGCUGUUCAAAUGGAAGAUCCUUCUUAGGACACACAUACACACACACACACAACUAUGCUAUUUGCACACAUAGAAUUCCAUGUGUAUACUCUACUUCCCAUGUUUUCCCAUGCUGUUUGACUCUCUCCUCUAUAAUGUAAUAACCUCUUUCAGGGAUGCUAUGAAACACCUUACAUUGUCCUUCUCCCUAGGACCAAAGUAUUCAUUUGCACAGCUGGAGGAAUGUAGGCUGUUCACAAAUGAGUCCCUCAAGUAUUUCCCUCUCUCUGCUGAAGGGAGAUGUCUUACUCAAGAUUUUGUUCCCUCCCCAGAGGUCAACCUGUAUUCAAUACCUUCACAGGGGUAUUUAUAAUAGGCCUAUUUCCUAUUUCAUGAUGAUUCUGAAGGACCAUCCCAGGUUCAGUGAGCCCCCACUGGAGUGCCUGAGGGCUCUACUGCUGUUCCACUUUUUCCUCUUAAGUCCUUCUCCCCUGCCCCUCCCCCCCCCACCUCCUCAUGCCCACCCUGUAUUUUUCCUGAGAGCACUCCUAGAUACAUCUCUUAUUUGCAAUCCUCUGUCUCAGAAUCUGCUUCCCAGGACACUUGACCUAAGAUAGGCUUCUCAUUCCUAUCCUUGACCUCGCUAUAGUUUGUUCUCAGCAUUCAGCCGGAGAGAUGCUGUUAGAACUAAAUGCUUGUAUGUUUCCUAGAGUCACUAUAAAAAAGUACCACAAAAUGGGUGUCUUAAAACAACAGAAAUUUGUUGUUUUACAGUUCUGCCAGAAGUUGGAGCUCAAGAUGUCAGCAGAGCUAUGCUCCUUCUGAGUGUCUGAAUCAAAUCUUCCCUUGCCUCUUCCUAGCUUCUGAUGGUGGCCAUCAAUCCUUGUCAUUUCUCGGUCUGCAGCUGCAUUGCUCCAAACUCAACCUCCGUCAUCACAUGGCAUUCUUCCUGGGUCUCUGUCUUUUCCUUUUCUUGUAAGGACACUGGACAUACUGAAUUAGGGCCCACCCUAAUGACCUCCUCUUAAUCUGAUCAGAUCUUCAAAGACCCUAUUUCCAAAUAAGGUCAUAUUCACAGGUAUCUGGAGCUAGAACAUCAGCAUAACUUUUGAACAUCAGCAUUCAACUCAUAACAGCAGUGCCCCAAAUCCUCCACUUACUCUCUAUAUCACUCAGAGUAAACCUGGAGUGGCCUGCAAAGCACUAUACAGUCUGUCCCCUGAAACCUGAAUGGCCUGAUCUUCCACUCCUCUCCUCUCCUAGAGAUCACUUUCCUGCAGCCAUAGUAGCCUCCUUGUUGCUUCCUCACUUGCCAGACACAACCCCAUCUCAGGGCUUUGCAUCUGCUUAUCUGUUUACCUAGAAUGUUUUUCACCUAGAGAUCUCUGCACCACUCUUUACCUAACCUACUACUAAUUUGUGCACAAAUGUUGCUUCUCGGUGAUGCUUCCUCUAACACUCUAUUUAAAAUUACAAACAACCUUAUCCCACACUCUAUCCCCAACCAUUUUUUCCCUCCAUAGAACUUCUCACCUUUUUAAAAAAAAUGUUUAUUUAUUUUUGACACAGAGAGAGUGAGAGACAGAGUGCGAGUGCAGUAGGGACAGAGAGAGGGAGACACAGAAUCCUAAGCAGACACAGAUUCCGAAUCAGCUGUCAGUACAGAGCCCGAUGCGGGGCUUGAACUCGGGAACUGCAAGAUCAUGAUCUGAGCUGAAGACACUCAACUGACAGUCACCCAGAUGCCCCAUCUCACCUUCUAAUAUACCAUGUAAUUUACUUCUUCAUUGAAUUUAUUAUAAUCUGCAGUAUGACUUCUGUGGUCUCAAGGCAAUUUUGCCUUAAUGGCCUCUUCCUCCAUUAAAAAAAUAUUUAUAAUUGUAUUUUAUGGCUGCAUUGAUAUAAAGAAAAAUAUGAUCCAGGGUGGAUGCAUUAUUGUAAUAUUCACAUUUUUUCUGGUUUUAAAAGAAAUUACAAUUAAAACAUUUUUGUGGGCCUCCAGAAGGAUCCUGGGCAUUAGGCCCCAUGUAUAAUGGAUAACUUGGCCCUGGGUUUAUAACUGUUUCCCCAUCAGAAGGUAGGCUUUUGGAGGACAAGGACUCUUGUCUAUUUUACCAAUUGAUAUUUCCCCAGCAAGUAAAACAGGGCCUGGCAUAUAGCAAUGUUCAAUAAAUAUUUGCUGAAUAUACAAGUGGCUAAAAAUAUCAUUUUGAUUUUCCAUUAGUUUGCCAUUCCCUUAGUGAAAUAGGUUUGUGUGGCCUAACCUAGAAUGUACUGUUAUUUCCACUUGAAUACUUAAAACUUCAAGAAUAAUUCUUUAAGAGCCUAAGCAAUCUUUGAACUAACCAUAGGACUCCAACUUUAUACAACUCUUGGGAACCAUGGGAGUGAGCAGAGGAGUUACUCUUCUGUAUCUGUUCUUGGUGCUCUGCAAAGUUCUAUGCUCUGUCUGGAAGUUAUUACAAAUACUAUGAGGAACAUUUUUUUGAACUUAAAAAAACUUCCUUAAACAAUUAUAAGAAAAAAUCUUGCUAGCUUGAAAUAAACCAUAAUAUUGAAAUAUCUUCUAAGUAACAAAAUAAGUCAUGAAAAUGCUUAAGAUAAUUUUAUAAAACUAAACUAGUGUGGUUGCCAUAUUACAGAGAUUCAUUUUAAUGAAAAAAAAGAAAAAAAAAACUCCAUGAAAAUUGGUGGGUCUCAGGUGGUAGAGCAAGGAUAAGAGAAUGACUAAAUUUGAUUUGUAUUUAUUAGAAAAGGGGAGAUCAGACCUUCAAUUUGAUUUGGGAAAACCGAAGUUAAACUUGCAGGGGUAAAAUAUAGCUUAUUUUUUACUGAAGAAUCUUGGUACUUAUGAAUUUCUUAGGAUAAAAUGUGGCCACUAAAACCUUUUUGAGAGGAAAUGUUAUUUCAUGGGAGACGAAAAUCAUUACAGUGUUGCAUACAUUUAAUAAUAUGAAGAAUAUUCUAAUUACAGCUGAUGAGGAACUUUCAUGGUGGUUUUCUUACCCUUUCUGGAACUACUGUGAAACUUCCCAUUUGUUCUACAGGCAGCAGUCUUAUUUGUUUUUCUUGGAACUUGACUAACAGUCAAUAUUUAGGUAUAUAUGUCUGUCCCCCAUUAGACUGUUGGGGGAAGCAUGAGCAGUUUAUUUUAGUACAUAUAUCACCCAGCAUGAUGCUUUUCAUAUUGAAUAGAUAUUCAAUGAAUGAACUGUUGAAUGUGAAAUGAUUUAACAACUAUGGACAUGGGGUGAUUUUCUUAAGCUUGUUUUCAUUAUAUAAAUAUUUAGGAAAUUCUUUCCUUUGAAGGUUUCUUUUUUGCUACCUGACAUGUAUCUGUUUCAUUUACCUGCUUAAGAUAUGGGGUCCCAACCCUGUCAGAGUAGGGCAGAAGAUGGACCCAUUAUCUACUUAUCUAAUACUUGUCUGGAAACUUGCUGGGGACAUUACAUACAUGAUCUCACUUAAUAAUAACAACAACUUAGAGAUAUAGGAAUUAUAUACUUCAUAUGAUAAAUUAAAAAAGGCCAGGGCUGACUAAUACACUCAAGGUCAAACAGCCAAUAAGUUAAAGGGUGAAAUUCAGUCCUAAAUCUGUCUAAUACCAAAACUUACAUUCUUUCUCACACGAACAAAAGAUCAGCUCUACAAAGUAAUAUGACAUUUAGGAAUGGAGCAUGCUUUUAAGGCAAGAUAUUGAAAGAUAACAUAAUGAAUUUUUAUAAAGUAGCUUAAAUUUUAAUUCAGUAGCCACUACAUUAAAAUAAGAAUUUUGAAUCAUAAUGAUCUGCCAGAGAGACCUAUAUGAAAAUAAUGAAUACAUUGCUAAGAAAAAUGAAGACAUUUACAGUGACAGAUACUGGUCCAUGGAAUUUUAUAUCAUUUUUACAUCCGUAUUUUGUCAUGUCCAGGUCAAUUGUGAAAAUGAUUCUACUACUUUUAUAUUCUUUGUGCUUCUUUACCUUUUGUGAUGAUUUAUUUCUGCCUUUAGUCUCCUUUAGUCUUAUAUGUCACAUCUUCACUUGCAUUGCUGAUUUUUUUCUAUCUUACUUCUAUGAAUUCAUUACUUAUCCAAAGUUUCUUUAUAUCUUCUUCUUCUUCUUCUUCUUCUUCUUUUUUUUUUUUGGUCCUCCUGAAAGAACUUAUUACAAUACUAUCUGUGUGAUUCAAAGAAGUCCCAGUGUAGACCCAUGCAAUGCUUCUUCUCAGAUUUCAGAGCUAGGGAAAUAUCUCUUUCCUGAUAAUUUGGUUUUCUGCCUUAUUAGCUAUUGAGAGUGAUGUAUCCUAUUAUAUUUCCCUUUUGCUUUGAAUGCCUGAAAGAUAAGCAUUUGGUUUUGUGCACAAUAGCAAUAGUUUCCCUAGACUUCGUUGUCUGGGAUGAUUAUUGUUCCCAUCAUUACUUGUCUGUUGUCAUUGUUUAAAUGAUGUUACGGUUUUCUCAUGUGUGACCUUAAUCUGUAAGAGACCUCCCUUUCUUUUUGGAGGUAAGAAAAAGAGAAAAAGAUGAGGAAAGAGACUGAAAGAGAUAGAGAUGUGGGAAAAUUAAACAUUUCAUCAGUUUUGCAUCAAAUUUGGUUCUGCCCUGUUUUCUCCAAUUUAAGUUAAUAAUUUCUGUCUUGCUUUGUAUGCAACUUCGAGUAGCUGGGACAACUGAUUUACUCUUUUGUGCUUGACAACAUGUGUUCAUAUCUCAUGUCCUUUAGGAAUGGAGCACUUCUUUAUUUUGUCAAACUUUUUCUACAGCCUGUCUUUUUCCCAGAUUGGAGCCUUCUUUCUGAAUGCCAGAUCUACACAGGAGGUCUUGUUAUCCUUGGCCAGAUAGCCCCAAUUCUGAAUAUGAGCCUCUCUGUCCAUCUGUCUGUUGCUAUGUAUAUGUAUGCACACACGCCUGUAUGCACACAUGUUUAACAUACACACAUAUGCAUGUUAAUGAUAUUAAGAAAGUCUAAUAGAAGGUGCCGGUGUGUAUUUAUAUUAAUGCUAAACACUGUCUGCGCUGUUUCUGUUAUCUGUGCCAUAUUUUAGUUGGUUGGCUUUUGCCUUGCUAUUUGCCUUUCAAUGUCCCUUUUACAACACAGCAUCUAUGUCUACUUUGAGAUUCAUGCCCACCACUGCCAGCUUUAACACACAGCAGGAUAAUCUAGUUUCAUUUUAAAUUCUUUUAUCUCUCUAAAAAGUUAGAAGGAAACAUUGCUUUAUAGCCCUUUAGUUUGGUUUGGACUUUGACGCUAUGUUGAUAGUAGAUUAGGUCAGCCUGCCUGCAUGUACCUACAUAUGUUUAUAUGUAUAUACUUACAUUCUGCCAUAUCCAAUAAAAAGAAUAUUCCGUUCUACAAAUUAGUUGUGCCACUGACAUAUUGUCCUUCUCUGAUUCAGUUCAUCAGAACUUUACUGGAUCUCUACCAUGUACAAGGCACUACACUAGCUCCAUAGUAACAAAUACAAAUAAGACGUGAAGUCUGUUCUUUAUGGAGUCAUGGUCCAUGCUGGAGACAAAAAUACCUAUGAUAUAAGUGGAGAGAGAUAUGGGUCUUGACAGUGAUUCAAAUUUUGUGGCUGACAUGUUUCCUAGUGGCACACUUCAGGGUUAGACCCAGGGACUUGUGUGAGUUGCAGAGCACUAGCUGUCACUGUCACCUGUUUCCCCAUUUUAAAAAAAAAAAAAUAAUGUUUAUUUAUUUUUGAGACAGAAAGAGACAGAGCAUGAACAGGGGAGGGUCAGAGAGAGGGAGACACAGAAUCUUAAACAGGCUCUAGGCUCUGAGCUGUCAGCACAGAGCCCGACACGGGGCUCGAACUCACGGACCGUGAGAUCAUGACCUGAGCCAAAGUCGGCCACUUAACCGACUGAGCCACCCAGGCGCCCCUUUUUUUUAUAGUGGUGGUAGUACUGGAUUAUUUUAGGAAUAAUCUUGAAUUCAAACACAUGUAUGCUGGCAUGUGAACCUGAAUAGAUUACUUACCCUGUCUAUAGCUCAUUUACCUGUUAAUAAUAUGCAGUCAUAUGUAUUUAUUAAAUGUAUAAAUAUUGUCAUAUAAUGUAUGUGCCUGGCACAAAGUUGUCUUAGAGGAUACGGUGGUGUAUAAGACACGUAAGUUUCUGUUUCAUGAAGAUUAAAUUUUAAAAGACAACCAUACUGGCCCAACUGUAGUAAUAUAGAAUUACAUACACAAUAUAUAGUUUACUAAAGCAAUAUUUUAUGUAAGUAUUAUUGCAUAUUUGAAAUAUAUUCAAUAUAUUCUAGGUAUUUAUUUUUAUUUAUAGGUAAUAAAAAGUGAACUAUUUCUUGCAUCAUGCAGAAAUCAAGAUAUCACAAAGUAUUGCAUAUGUCAUAUGUAUUUAAUGUUUUAUCUCAAGGUAGAGAAUACAAUAUAGUAAGUGUUUGUGGCAACUUUCACUCAGUGCAGAGAUGUCACUGCUUGAUUUGACAUUUCACUGAUUCUUGAAUCUGGCAGUUGAGAUGAAUACCAGAGUUCCUAACAUGCUAUGUUCUGGGUUUUAAAUCACCUUCUGGCUCCUCUAUUAUUCUCUGAACUUAAUAAAGACAUUAUGCCCAUGUGUUUUCCAGAUCUCAUAAAGCGUAAGGCGGUGUAACCUAAAGUGCUGGAGGAAGGAGUCAGUAGAUACCUUAGAAUGGCCCCUUUCAUCCUGAUCACAAGGCGUGGGACAUUAACAUGGAUCUAUGCUCUUCUUCAGCAGCUGGACCCAGGGUAACUUCUGAGAAAUGCUGACCUCUGCACUGACUUUAUGCAGAGAUGAAAGAAAUAUGUGUGCGUCUUAAAAGCAGUGAUUAAAGAUUUGUCGGACUUUCUACUAUUCUUUCAUCAUUUACCCAAACCUAUGAGUGUGACAAAGUGUAUGUCAUUAGAAGGCUUUUGUUAAAAAGUAACCACAUGAGAUACACGUGAUGAUGUGUGAAGGUUCCC
rnacentral:lncRNA from 1 species